AGUCACCUGGGGUGAACGUCAGCUGAAAGUGUCCUUGAGCCGAUAUUCACAACCCUGGAGGCUCCUCGAUAGAUGUUGUUGUGCAUGUCCGCCUGACGGAAAGCCUUAUGCAUCGCAGGAGCCACCACCUGAGCCUCUGGGUUCAGGGCUAAUUUGGCAGCGGCACCCUGGAUGACUU
rnacentral:other from 1 species